rnacentral:lncRNA from 1 species
UGAAAACACUCGUACAUAACUUGAAUCACUUAGAAGUCUUCAAACACUUGAAAAAAAAUCUUUUGUGUGUAUGUGUAUAAGUGGCCGUAGGGUGAGAGAGAUGAGAGGAUUGCAUUGUUUUUUUGUUCUCUUGAAAUGUAGGAAUAGAUGGAUGAUGAGGUUUAUUUGUAUAUAUAAAAUAUCCAUAAUUGAAUGAAGUCAUGACAAAAUAUUCAAGUAUGGAACAAAUCAAAUCCAACAUCACAAGAUGAUGGGGUUGUUCGGCAGUAGGGGGACUAGGGUAGGGUGUGGUGUAAUGAUUUUGAUGGUAAGGUGAUGAUGAUUGAAUUUGAGUGUGGGUUUAGGUUUAGUUGGGUGUAUAAAAUACCCGCUUAAUUAUACCUACUAGUUACUCGUUUUUUAAAAAUUGAAAAGAAAACCAUAAUAAAAUAAUAUGAAUGAGUCUGGUGUAUAAUGUUGGUGCAGUCAUCUGUCGUCUUCGUCUUAAUAUCGAAUCUGAUCGGGCAUGACAUCACAAG